rnacentral:rRNA from 1 species
CCUACGGGAGGCAGCAGUGAGGAAUAUUGGUCAAUGGCCGGAAGGCUGAACCAGCCAUGCCGCGUGAAGGUCAGUGCCCUAUGGGCGUUAAACUUCUUUUGUGCGGGAGCAAUAAUGGUCACGUGUGGCCAGACGAGAGUACCGUACGAAUAAGCAUCGGCUAACUCCGGGCCAGCAGCCGCGGUAAUACGGGGGAUGCAAGCGUUAUCCGGAUUUAUUGGGUUUAAAGGGUGCGUAGGCUGUGAGGUAAGUCAGCGGUGAAAUGCCCCCGCUCAACGGGGUGAAGUGCCAUUGAUACUGCCUGGCUGGAAUGCGGAUGCCGUGGGAGGAAUGUGUGGUGUAGCGGUGAAAUGCAUAGAUAUCACACAGAACACCGAUUGCGAAGGCAUCUCACGAAUCCGCGAUUGACGCUGAUGCACGAAAGCGUGGGUAUCAAACAGGAUUAGAUACCCGAGUAGUC